CAAUCACCCUGAUGUCUGCCUGAAUAUCCCUUGGCUACCCCGAGCACGUCCCGUGCUACCCCCUAACCAAGUUCGCCGUCACUGUCCAUAUAGCGUCCGCUUCCUCAGAACUUCUCCAAGCUCCGCCCUCAGCUAACCUCCUCUCCAACUCCUGUGCUUUCUCCUUAGUCAAAACACCCCCAUCUAAUCCGCGGUUGUCCUCGAGAACCC
rnacentral:lncRNA from 1 species